rfam:Photobacterium ganghwense strain DSM 22954 contig0010, whole genome shotgun sequence.
UUACUUAAUUUCUUAGCCUGAAAAGGCUAAUGGCUGGUGGCUAAUAGCCACCGGCCU